ensembl:lncRNA
AUGUUGAUCCAAGAAAGCAUCCUCCUUGCGGGCACUGUGUUACACGUAAUGCAUGCAGAGAUACACACAGUCCUGCUGUCACACACACACACACUCAGAUACAGAUGGACAGACGUGCCACAGAAGGCAGCAUACGCUUCCUUGAGGCUAUUAAACGCCGGCCGCCGCGUCACUCGAUGCCCUAAAGGCCUGACAGACAACACUAGUACAAGCAAACACUCUCUGAUAUCCACUGACCGGUUCAGCCAAUGGUGUGUAAACAUUCAGCAGUAAAAGCAGAUGCAUCGCAUGUGUUUGAAUGCGAUGGCCCGCGGCACGCCUCAGGCUUUCCCAGCAGUCUCUGCGCUGCCAGUUCUCCACGAGUGGAUGCUCACGGCAGACAUUAAGCGGUUAAUGCUCAACUAGUUUAGUGAUAUCACAUGCGGGGUUAUUGACCACAUCCUCCUCCUCACAGCGGAUGGUUGAGCUUUUAGAUGCGUAUCUGCACCAUUCAUGGACCUUCUCCGUCUUAAACAAACAUUGUGCAAUCAGUCACGGGAAUGCUGAAGCAAUAUGAAUCAAUUUGGAAAAAAGACUUUCCACAUUAGUGCUGCUGUCAAGCACAAAUUACAAUGAAAGCAUGCUGAUGAAAUGAGCUGAUUGGAAAAGGUUUGACUAAAGCAGGGCCAUUGCUAGAAAUGCAUGCAUUUUGGGUCCCUCUCAGUUCCUGCAGUGUUGCGGAUGGUAAAUCAGAGAGUGUCACUCAAAGCUGAAAUACCUGGCCACUGGCUCUCUGAAACCAGGCUGACAAAGAGAGGCCAGAGAGACAAGAGCAGUCGACAGGAGCGCAGGGACUGUGCCGCCGCAAGCAGCGCUGCAGUAUUAAAGAGCAUCAGAAAGCUCAGGAGCACACAGAACCCACAUCCACUGAAAGACUGAAAAAAAAUGACAUCAGUUCCAAAUCUGCAUUUUUAUUCCAAUCUCACAAAUUCCCUCCAGUUCUGUCAUGAACUUCAGUUUGUCUGUAUUUCACAACAGCUUUGAAUGCAGCUCAUCCGAGUCAGAACUGUCUGUUUAUAUACUGUACAGUAGUGAAGUUUGUCCUUUAUUCAAAC